AACGAACGCUGGCGGCGUGCUUAACACAUACAAGUCGAACGCGAAAGGGACUUCGGUCCUGAGUAAAGUGGCGCACGGGUGAGUAACGCGUGGAUAAUCUGCCCAAUGGACUGGGAUGACAUCUCGAAAGGGGUGCUAAUACCGGAUAAGACCACGGGAUCUUUGGAUUCUGCGGUAAAAGGUGGGGACCUUCGGGCCUACCGUCAUUGGAUGAGUCCGCGUACCAUUAGCUAGUUGGUAGGGUAAUGGCCUACCAAGGCUACGAUGGUUAGCUGGCCUGAGAGGAUGAUCAGCCACGCUGGAACUGAGACACGGUCCAGACUCCUACGGGAGGCAGCAGUGGGGAAUUUUGCGCAAUGGGGGAAACCCUGACGCAGCAACGCCGCGUGAGUGAUGAAGGCCUUCGGGUCGUAAAGCUCUGUCAGAGGGGAAGAAGUGCAGUGGUGCUAAUAUCGCCAUUGUUUGACGGUACCCUCAAAGGAAGCACCGGCUAACUCCGUGCCAGCCGCCGCCGUAAUAC
rnacentral:rRNA from 1 species